rnacentral:rRNA from 1 species
CCUACGGGGGGCAGCAGUAGGGAAUCUUUCACAAUGGGCGAAAGCCUGAUGGAGCAACGCCGCGUGCAGGAUGAAGGCCUUCGGGUUGUAAACUGCUUUUAUAAGCGAGAAAUAUGAUGGUAACUUAUGAAUAAGGAUCGGCUAACUACGUGCCAGCAGCCGCGGUCAUACGUAGGAUCCGAGCAUUAUCCGGAGUGACUGGGUGUAAAGAGUUGCGUAGGUGGCAUAAUAAGUAGCUAGUGAAAUCUGGUGGCUCGACCAUUCAGACUAUUAGCUAAACUGUUAAGCUCGAGACCGUUAGGGGUAACUGGAAUUUCUAGUGUAGGAGUGAAAUCCGUAGAUAUUAGAAGGAACACCAAUAGCGUAGGCAGGUUGCUGGGACGGUUCUGACACUAAGGCACGAAAGCGUAGGGAGCAAACGGGAUUAGAUACCCGUGUAGUC